CAUUUUGGAGCGCAGAUAGACGACAGAAGGAAACGUGGAAGUUUGGAUAAAGAAAAGCAAAGCAUAGAAAAUGAAUAACAUUUGGCUUUUGUAUCUUGUGGUGUUGAUCAUGACUUUACCCUUUUCAAUUCAGGGGAACUCUGAUCAAUCAAAGUCCUCAGAUGGUCUUAGUCGAUCAUCCUCUGGAUCCUCCUCUUCCUCCUCAUCAUCAUCAUCAUCAUCAGACAGCUCAACUGCUCAUACGAAUUCCAGCGCUGUGUCCUUGGCUCCUGUGCCCAUUGCAUUGUGCAUACUGAUCCCAACAGCCACCUUGGGUUUCCUCUACGGGACACCUUAAACUAAAUGGAGAAAGUCUUGCAGAUGGUUAAAGCUAUAAUAAAGGCCAAAGAUGGACAGUGCAAACCUUUCUGAAGUUCUUUAAAACCAAGGACAAACACACAGGAAUAACACUAGCAUGCACAACUCACAUUCACACUGGAUUUUGAAAUAAUGAAAGUUAAUAAAGGGAUUUGUUUAGUUUAGCAUCUCUCUGCUGCUGCAAACCAAGAGUCUUCAGCAGAACCACAGCAGUUUGUGAUGGUUUUAGAUAAAGCUCGUUUCCUCUAUGCCAACUUCUGUUAAACUUUGUUUAGAUGCCCUAAAGAAAAUUUUGUCCCAGCUUGAAUUUGAAUUAGUGUUAUUAUCAACUAAUUAAACGUGUUUCUUUUAAGAAUUAAAAUCUGCCUGGCAUGUAUAUCUGUUUAUAUUCUGCCAUGUGAAAUAUGUGCACAUAUUUUGCUGUGUAAACUUAAUCAAUGUAAUCCAUCUCCUCUUGUGAUUUAUAUUGUGAUGAUCCAUUAAUUUUAAUAAUUAUAUAUUUGAAAAUAUGCACAAUUAAAGUAAAUUAAAUGUAUAUGUUUGGUCAGCAUUUUUUAUUUCGAGUUUUGUGUGUCUGUUAAACAUGCUAUAAUCUACAUGCAAUAGUUGUGUUGUAGUAGAUCUGUAUGGGAGAUAAUAAAGACAGCACUAGUUUUAUUUAGAGAUCCUUUUCGAAAGGGGUGUAGGCAGAUUCAUCAGUUUUGGGGAAGCUGUGAUGGGCGGGUGUUUUAUCAACACAUCACCCAUAAAUCCUUGAGAAUAAAAGCCCCUGUCUGUCCGCGUCACUGAACACAGACUCUCAGUUCAACAGAAACUUCUCUAAAAGAGGACACAACAACUGUAAAAAUGAAUACAUUUUGGAUCGUGUGCCUUGGGAUGCUGUUCAUGACUUUACCAUUUUCAUCCUUAGGGGAUUCGACGACCCAGAAUUCAAACAAAACAGGAACUGUAGAUUCCAGUGCUGGAGGAUUGAGUCCUGUCUCGAUCCCACUGUGUCUUCUAAUACCAGCAGCCACACUCCUCAUCCUCCACGGCAAAUUUUAAACUGGAAGUGGAGAAAGUUUGCUGUUGAUCCAGAGCGAGACAGUUAUGACAAGAAGUGUUUCAAAAUUCAAAAAGAUAAGAUACAAUCAAAGCUCAUAUGCGUUAUGGAUCUAUUAAAUCAAAAUUGAAUUUGAAGUUUGGAUAAUUAUUUUAAAGAGAAUUAGGAAAUCUUCCAUGUGCAGAUAUAUUUGUGUAAUAACAUUGUUUGCACUGUAUAAUAUGAAUCUUGUCAGUGUCAUCUUUCUCAUCUUACAAUAUUUUAUUGUAAACAAACAUUGUUGUGAUUAAGACUGAAUGAAUACAAUUAAAGCAGAAAAUUGUA